UACAGAGGUCUCAAGCGUUGUUCGGAUUCAUUGGGCGUAAAGGGUGCGUAGGCGGCGCGGUAAGUCGGGUGUGAAAUCUUGGAGCUUAACUCCGAAACUGCAUUCGGAUACUGCCGUGGCUUGAGGACUGGAGAGGAGACUGGAAUUUACGGUGUAGCGGUGAAAUGCGUAGAUAUCGUAAGGAAGACCAGUGGCGAAGGCGGGUCUGCUGGACAGUUCCUGACGCUGAGGCACGAAGGCCAGGGGAGCAAAUGGG
rnacentral:rRNA from 1 species